rnacentral:rRNA from 1 species
GGCUUAGAGUUUGAUCAUGGCUCAGGAUGAACGCUGGCGGCGUGCCUAACACAUGCAAGUCGAGCGAUUUACUUCGGUAAAGAGCGGCGGACGGGUGAGUAACGCGUGGGUAACCUGCCCUGUACACACGGAUAACAUACCGAAAGGUAUGCUAAUACGAGAUAAUAUGUUUUUAUCGCAUGGUAGAAGUAUCAAAGCUUUUACGGUACAGGAUGGACCCGCGUCUGAUUAGCUAGUUGGUAAGGUAACGGCUUACCAAGGCGACGAUCAGUAGCCGACCUGAGAGGGUGAUCGGCCACAUUGGAACUGAGACACGGUCCAAACUCCUACGGGAGGCAGCAGUGGGGAAUAUUGCACAAUGGGCGAAAGCCUGAUGCAGCAACGCCGCGUGAGUGAUGAAGGCCUUCGGGUCGUAAAGCUCUGUCCUCAAGGAAGAUAAUGACGGUACUUGAGGAGGAAGCCCCGGCUAACUACGUGCCAGCAGCCGCGGUAAUACGUAGGGGGCUAGCGUUAUCCGGAAUUACUGGGCGUAAAGGGUGCGUAGGUGGUUUCUUAAGUCAGAGGUGAAAGGCUACGGCUCAACCGUAGUAAGCCUUUGAAACUGGGAAACUUGAGUACAGGAGAGGAGAGUG